UUAUCCGGAUUUACUGGGUGUAAAGGGAGCGUAGACGGAAUGGCAAGUCUGAUGUGAAAGGCCGGGGCUCAACCCCGGGACUGCAUUGGAAACUGUCAAUCUAGAGUACCGGAGGGGUAAGUGGAAUUCCUAGUGUAGCGGUGAAAUGCGUAGAUAUUAGGAGGAACACCAGUGGCGAAGGCGGCUUACUGGACGGUAACUGACGUUGAGGCUCGAAAGCGUGGGGAGCAAACAGGAUUAGAUACCCUGGUAGUCCACUCCGUAAACGAUGAAUACUAGGUGUUGGGGAGCAAAGCUCUUCGGUGCCGCAGCAAACGCAUUAAGU
rnacentral:rRNA from 1 species